UACGGGGGGGGCAAGCGUUGUUCGGAAUUACUGGGCGUAAAGGGCUCGUAGGCGGCCAACUAAGUCAGACGUGAAAUCCCCAGGCUCAACCUGGGAACUGCGUCUGAUACUGGAUGGCUUGAAUUCGGGAGAGGGAUGCAGAAUUCCAGGUGUAGCGGUGAAAUGCGUAGAUAUCUGGAGGAAUACCGGUGGCGAAGGCGGCAUCCUGGACCGACAUUGACGCUGAGGCGCGAAAGCUAGGGGAGCGAACGGG
rnacentral:rRNA from 1 species